UCAACCAUCAAGCUUGGCUUGUCGUUGGACCUCUUUGCCGUUGAAAUAUAUGGCAGGUCCGAAAGAUAAUGACGGCGUCAUGUUUGACCCUAAAUGCAACGAGCUUUUUAUAGCACGCAUUGAAGUGGUUGGCUAACCCAGUCUUUAACCAUCAUUUUUCUAA
rnacentral:misc_RNA from 1 species